rnacentral:rRNA from 1 species
AAAGUUCCCUUCGGGGAGCAAGUAGAGUGGCGCACGGGUGAGUAACACGUAGGUAAUCUACCUUCGGGUGGGGAAUAACCCAGGGAAACUUGGGCUAAUACCGCAUAAUGCAGCGGCACCACAUGGUGACAGUUGUUAAGGCGGGGGAUUUUCGAACCUCGCGCCUGAAGAGGAGCCUGCGGCGGAUUAGCUAGUUGGUAAGGUAACGGCUUACCAAGGCGACGAUCCGUAGCCGGCCUGAGAGGGCGGUCGGCCACACUGACACUGACAUACGGGUCAGACUCCUACGGGAGGCAGCAGUCGGGAAUUUUGGGCAAUGGGCGAAAGCCUGACCCAGCAACGCCGCGUGAAGGAUGAAAUCCCUCGGGAUGUAAACUUCGCAAGAAUGGGAAGAAUAAGUAGGGGAUAAUACCCUCUAUGAUGACGGUACCAUUUGUAAGCUCCGGCUAACUCCGUGCCAGCAGCCGCGGUAAUACGGGGGGAGCAAGCGUUGUUCGGAUUUACUGGGCGUAAAGGGCGCGUAGGCGGCCAGCACAGGUCAGUUGUGAAAUCUCCAGGCUUAACUCGGAAAGGUCAACUGAUACUGUGCGGCUAGAGUGCGGAAGGGGCAACUGGAAUUCUCGGUGUAGCGGUGAAAUGCGUAGAUAUCGAGAGGAACACCUGCGGCGAAGGCGGGUUGCUGGGCCGACACUGACGCUGAUGCGCGAAAGCCAGGGGAGCGAACGGGAUUAGAUACCCCGGUAGUCCUGGCCUUAAACGAUGGAUGCUUGGUGUCUGGGGUUUUAUAGUCCCCGGGUGCCGCAGCUAACGCGUUAAGCAU